CAGAGGGGGCAAGCGUUAUUCGGAAUUAUUGGGCGUAAAGGGCGCGUAGGCGGCCUGGCAAGUGACGGGUGAAAUCCCUGGGCUUAACCGAGGAACUGCCUGUCAAACUGCCUGGCUUGAGACCGGGAGAGGUGAGUGGAAUCCCCAGUGUAGCGGUGAAAUGCGUAGAUAUUGGGGGGAACACCAGUGGCGAAGGCGGCUCACUGGACCGGUACUGACGCUGAGGCGCGAAAGCGUGGGGAGCAAACAGGAUUAGAUACCCUGGUAGUCCACGCCGUAAACGAUGAGUGCUUGGUGUAGCGGGUAUCGACCCCUGCUGUGCCGAAGUCAACACAUUAAGCACUCCGCCUGGGGAGUACGGUCGCAAGGCUG
rnacentral:rRNA from 1 species